rnacentral:rRNA from 2 species
AUGCCCUAGUAACGGCGAGUGAAGCGGCAACAGCUCAAAUUUGAAAUCUGGCGUCUUUGGCGUCCGAGUUGUAAUUUGCAGAGGGCGCUUUGGCAUUGGCAGCGGUCCAAGUUCCUUGGAACAGGACGUCACAGAGGGUGAGAAUCCCGUACGUGGUCGCUAGCCUUUACCGUGUAAAGCCCCUUCGACGAGUCGAGUUGUUUGGGAAUGCAGCUCUAAAUGGGAGGUAAAUUUCUUCUAAAGCUAAAUACUGGCCAGAGACCGAUAGCGCACAAGUAGAGUGAUCGAAAGAUGAAAAGCACUUUGGAAAGAGAGUUAAAAAGCACGUGAAAUUGUUGAAAGGGAAGCGCUUGCAGCCAGACUUGCCUGUAGUUGCUCAUCUAGGUUUCUACCUAGUGCACUCUUCUACGGGCAGGCCAGCAUCAGUUUGGGCGGUUGGAUAAAGGUCUCUGUCAUGUACCUCUCUUCGGGGAGAACUUAUAGGGGAGACGACAUGCAACCAGCCUGGACUGAGGUCCGCGCAUCUGCUAGGAUGCUGGCGUAAUGGCUGUAAGCGGCCCGUCUUGAAACACGGACCAAGGAGUCUAACAUCUAUGCGAGUGUUUGGGUGUCAAGCCCGAGCGCGUAAUGAAAGUGAACGGAGGUGGGAACCUUUCGGGGUGCACCAUCGACCGAUCCUGAUGUCUUCGGAUGGAUUUGAGUAAGAGCAUAGCUGUUGGGACCCGAAAGAUGGUGAACUAUGCUUGAAUAGGGUGAAGCCAGAGGAAACUCUGGUGGAGGCUCGCAGCGGUUCUGACGUGCAAAUC